GUUUUUCAUUCAUUGGCUACUCUGUAUUUUCCAGAUCAGAUUGUUGAAAAUUUUGGCAUUGCUCGGUAAUGGUGACAAACAAGCAAGUGAACACAUGUAUACUGUUCUGGGGGACAUAUUUAGGAAGUGUGAUUCAUCAAGCAACAUCGGGAAUGCUGUUCUAUAUGAGUGCAUAUGUUGUGUUUCCUCCAUACACUGUAGCCCCAAAUUGCUAGAAUCUGCUGCAGAAGUAACUUCUCGAUUUCUGAAGAGUGAUAGUCAUAAUCUAAAGUAUAUGGGCAUUGAUGCCCUUAGUAGACUUAUAAAGAUAAACCCAGAGAUCGCUGAGGAACACCAGCUUGCUGUGAUUGACUGCUUAGAGGUGAGAGACUAACUCAAUUGUAUUAAUCUGAUGUCUUGUUAGAGACUAGAUAGCUUCUUGGAAUUCCAUAUAGCCCCUCAAUGGUAGUAGCCAUAAUGCUUCCUUAUUUCUACAAAUGAUUUCACUCUACUUUCCUUCUUGUGUUGCAUUCUAGACUAUAAUGUAUGAUUUCACCGGAUGCUCAGGCCUUCUGGUAGGUGUUCCGUAUAAAAUUGCAAUUGGCAAGUUUAAUAAAUAAUAACAUAUCUUCCAUGUU